GGAUGUGAAAACAAUCUGCCCGUGUCAUCACUCUAUUGAUCAGCCAGUGUCCCUUUCCUCCGUCACUGCAUGCUUGAUUGAAGAGAAUGACCUUUCGUGAACAGAUGACGACCAUUCUCCAGCCAAGGGUUUAGAAAAUAACUGUGCUCUCCUGCUGGAAUUCCAAACAAUCUCUCAAGAAAUAUUGAUAGUAACAGGACACCAUCAAAAUAUAUCCAUGGCAGCUAUGUAAUUUGUAUGUCUCAU
ensembl:misc_RNA predicted gene, 25333